GGUAACAUUCAAAAUAAAUAUACAUUUUACAUUUAAUAAUUUAUUUUGCAAGAAUAAUCUAGUAGAUCACGUGACCAAUAUAAAUUUGAAUUACCUAUAAUGUUCAGUUGAUAAAAAAGUCUUUUAUAAUUAAAGCAGUGUUUAUUUAUAUCCUAAUCGUUUUCAUCAGCAAAUACUCAUAAGACACCAUCACAAUAUUCCAUCUUUUGAAAUAUGUAUUAAAAUGAUUUUGUAGUAAUAUUUUCUUACAAACGUUGCAGGUAUCAGACGCUAGAUUUGAUGAAAUGCAAACCAUAGUGAGCAGCUCCUUCCAUGUUAAAUUCAAACAUAUUAUUGACGGUUUUUCCCUGUAUACUGGACUUGUAUUCUUUAUGCUUGGUCUUUUAAUCAUUAGUUUGAUAUUUGGCUACAUUGCUGUCUUUUUUGGAAAUAAAAUGGAUAGCCCCAGAUCGACUGUUAUUUUGAUAGUCUUAAUUUUUAUAAUGAUUCUAACACUUCCUACUUGGAUAACCAGUAUGACUUUAAUACGUCCUAUUUGGAUGGACACUGAAUAUAUCAUCGACAAGAAAAGUUGCGUGUACACUUGGAUAGUUAAGGUAAAAACGUACAGUACAGGUUAUGCUUACAUAUUUAUGGAAAUGUAUAUUUAUACUAAUUUAUAAAUUGUUUUCUUUUCAAAUGUUAGUAUUUUUAUAUGAUAGAAUUCGAUAUAAAACAGAACAUUUUCUACGUACAUCUAACUACUUUCUUUCUUCUAAAAUCAGGGUUGGUUACUUUUGAACAUUUUAUAUCAGUACUAUCAAAACGUUUAAUAAAUUAAAUAUGCUAUCUAUUUGAACAGCCCAGCUUUUAAAGUAGUGAACACGAGCCUAAUAUUUAAAAUACCAUUGUGUUGUUUUACAGUCGACAAAGAAUCUGAACAUGAAGCUUUGGUGGAAAAUUAACAAAGACACAAUAAGAGCAGACAAAUACUUUGAAUUUUUUCGAGACGGCUAUUUGGACAUUGUUCGCUUUGACCCAGAGCCAUGUAAGAUUGUGUUUGAACGACGAUGUCAGAAUCUUAAAUCCCUUACUAAGUUCGUGACUCGCAGAGUGGGAGAAACGGAAAAGG